rnacentral:rRNA from 1 species
CCGGCACGGGUGAGUAACACGUAUCCAACCUGCCGUCUACUCUUGGCCAGCCUUCUGAAAGGAAAGAUUAAUCCAGGAUGGCAUCAUGAGUUCACAUGUCCGCAUGAUUAAAGGUAUUUUCCGGUAGACGAUGGGGAUGCGUUCCAUUAGAUAGUAGGCGGGGUAACGGCCCACCUAGUCAACGAUGGAUAGGGGUUCUGAGAGGAAGGUCCCCCACAUUGGAACUGAGACACGGUCCAA